GACGUAGGGGGCCAGCGUUGUUCGGAAUUACUGGGUGUAAAGGGUCAGUAGGCGGUGUGGCAAGUCGGGAGUGAAAUCUAUGGGCUCAACCCAUAGGCUGCUUCCGAAACUGCUGUGCUUGAGUGUGGGAGAGGCGCGUGGAAUUGCAGGUGUAGCGGUGAAAUGCGUAGAUAUCUGCAGGAACACCCGUGGCGAAAGCGGCGCGCUGGACCACAACUGACGCUGAAUGACGAAAGCUAGGGGAGCAAACAGG
rnacentral:rRNA from 1 species